UUUGAUUAUGGCUCAGAUUGAACGCUGACGGGAUGCUUUACACAUGCAAGUCGAACGGCAGCACGGACUUGGUCUGGUGGCGAGUGCCGAACAGGUGAGUAAUGUAUCGGAACGUGCCUGGUAGCGGGGGAUAACUACGCGAAGCGUAGCUACAGCCACCGCAUACGCCCUUCGGGAAAGCAGGGGACCUUCGGGCCUCGCACUAUUAGAGCGGCCGAUAUCGGAUUAGCUAGUUGGUGGGGUAACGGCUCACCAAGGCGGCAGUCAGCUGGUUUGAAGGACGACCAGCCACACUGGGACUGAGACACGGCCCAGACUCCACGGGCAGGUGGCAGUGGAAUUUUUGGGCAUCGAGCCCGAUGUCAUCCCGCGAGCUGUUGAAGGGUUUCCUUCCAGUUUGUAGCACACGGCAGAAAGAAACGGCACGGAUAACGCACGUGCAACUGACAGUACCUGCAGAAUAAGCACCGGUAACUACGUGCCAGCAGCCGCGGUAAUACGUAGGGUGCAAGCGUUAAUCGGAAUUACUGGGCGUAAAGCGUGCGCAGGCGGUUGGAAGAAAGAUGCCGAAAUCCCAGAGCUUAACUGGAGCUACAUUUUCAACUGCCGAGCUAGAGUGUGUCAGAGGGAGGUGGAAUUCCCGCGUGUAGCAGUGAAAUACGUAGAUAUGCGGAGGAACACCGAUGGCGAAGGCAGCCUCACAAAUUAACACUGACGCUCAUGCACGAAAGCGUGGGGAGCAAACAGGAUUAAGAUACCCUGGUAGUCCACGCCCUAAACGAUGUCAACUAGCUGUUGGGGCCUUCGGGCCUUGGUAUUGCAAUAACGCGUGAAGUUGACCGCCUGGGGAGUACGGUCGCAAGAUUAAAACUCAAAGAAAUUGACGGGGACCCGCACAAGCGGUGGAUGAUGUGGAUUAAUUCGAUGCAACGCGAAAAACCUUACCUACCCUUGACAUGUCUGGAAUCCCGAAGAGAUUUGGGAGUGCUCGCAAGAGAACCGGAACACAGGUGCUGCAUGGCUGUCGUCAGCUCGUGUCGUGAGAUGUUGGGUUAAGUCCCGCAACAGGCGCGGCCACUUGUCAUUGGGUUGCUACGAAAGGGCACUCUAAUGCAGGACUGCCGGUGACAAACCGGAGGAAGGUGGGGAUGACGUCAAGUCCUCAUGGCCCUUAUGGGCAGGGCUUCACACGUCAUACAAUGGUCGGGACAGGGGGUCGCCAACCCGCGAGGGGCUAAUCCCAGAAACCCGAUCGUAGUCCGGAUCGCAGUCUGCAACUCGACUGCGUGAAGUCGGAAUCGCUAGUAAUCGCGGAUCAGCAUGUCGCGGUGAAUACGUUCCCGGGUCUUGUACACCGCCCGUCACACCAUGGGAGUGGGUUUUACCAAGUAGUUAGCCUAACCGUAAGGAGGCGAUUACCACGGUAGGAUUCAUGACUGGGGUGAAGUCGUAACAAGGUAG
rnacentral:rRNA from 1 species